rnacentral:rRNA from 1 species
AUUGAACGCUGGCGGCAGGCUUAACACAUACAAGUCGAGCGGAGAUGAGGUGCUUGCACCUUAUCUUAGCGGCGGACGGGUGAGUAAUGCUUAGGAAUCUGCCUAUUAGUGGGGGACAACAUUCCGAAAGGAAUGCUAAUACCGCAUACGUCCUACGGGCGAAAGCAGGGGAUCUUCGGACCUUGCGCUAAUAGAUGAGACUAAGUCGGAUUAGCUAGUUGGUGGGGUAAAGGCCUACCAAGGCGACGAUCUGUAGCGGGUCUGAGAGGAUGAUCCGCCACACUGGGACUGAGACACGGCCCAGACUCCUACGGGAGGCAGCAGUGGGGAAUAUUGGACAAUGGGGGGAACCCUGAUCCAGCCAUGCCGCGUGGGUGAAGAAGGCCUUAUGGUUGUAAAGCACUUUAAGCGAGGAGGAGGCUACUGAGACUAAUACUCUUGGAUAGUGGACGUUACUCGCAGAAUAAGCACCGGCUAACUCUGUGCCAGCAGCCGCGGUAACAC